rnacentral:lncRNA from 1 species
GGGAAUGUGCGAAGGUUCCUCUCCACUAACUGUGCCUUGGUCAGAACAGCCGAAUAAGUACUAAGCUCUAGCACAUACAACUGUUGUCUGAUCUCAGGACGGAGACCCCACUUGAACCUUCUAGCCUUCCUGCCUUCAUCCAUCAUGCUCUCAGAGGAAUACCGGCCAAACUCUAAGAACUUGCGAGCAUAUUCUAAUACAAUUAUGUCUUCCUGGACUAAGUGUGCAAACUCCAUCUCCUUCAGAUAUCAAAGAUGUUCUAAAAGGUACUCUGCAUGAAAGGCCAUCAGGAACUGUUCUCAAGUAUAUGGAACGAGCAGGGUGGCCUGCUUGAGUUGCCAUCAGCGGCCUACUUCUCUCACCAGCAUGUAGGUAGCAAGGAUGACUUUCUAUUCAAGAAUCAUCCCAAGUGUCGAGAAGACCUUCUCUGUCUCAACUAACCAGUACUCAGCCUCUUCAAAGGAGGAUCCCCCCUGCAAAAGUAGAUAGGUUUAGUCUUUUAUACCUUUCAAUGUAGUUUAGGUCUAUCAUGGGAAGAACUGUGUCCCGU